rnacentral:rRNA from 1 species
UACAGAGGUCUCAAGCGUUGUUCGGAUUCAUUGGGCGUAAAGGGCGCGUAGGCGGCUUGCACCGUCAGAUGUGAAAUUCCUGGGCUUAACCUGGGGGCUGCAUUUGAUACGUGUGGGCUUGAGUGCGGAAGAGGGUCGUGGAAUUCCCAGUGUAGAGGUGAAAUUCGUAGAUAUUGGGAAGAACACCGGUGGCGAAGGCGGCGACCUGGUCCGUGACUGACGCUGAGGCGCGAAAGCGUGGGGAGCAAACAGG